GCUUCAUUUGCUCAGUUGGUUCGAGCAUGUCUGCUUCUUUCGGGAAAAAGGCACUCACGCGAGUUCAAUUCUGGCAUGAGGCA